ACGUAGGAGGCAAGCGUUAUCCGGAGUUACUGGGCGUAAAGGGCGUGCAGGCGGCCCUACAAGUCAGCUGUGAAAUCCUUCUGCUCAACGGAAGAACGGCAGUUGAUACUACAGGGCUUGAGUACGGGAGGGGAGAGUGGAACUUCUGGUGGAGCGGUGAAAUGCGUAGAUAUCAGAAGGAACGCCGGCGGCGAAAGCGACUCUCUGGUCCGAAACUGACGCUGAGUGUGCGAAAGCUAGGGGAGCAAACGG
rnacentral:rRNA from 1 species